rnacentral:rRNA from 1 species
GGUAUAGUGUGGCCAGCGGUGGGGGGAAUGCAGGGGGUGGUGGCGUUAAUCGGAUUUACCGGGCGUAAAGCGUGCGUAGGCGGCUGAUUAAGUCGGAUGUGAAAUCCCUGAGCUUAACUUAGGAAUUGCAUUCGAUACUGGGCAGCUAGAGUAUGGGAGAGGAUGGUAGAAUUCCAGGUGUAGCGGUGAAAUGCGUAGAGAUCUGGAGGAAUACCGAUGGCGAAGGCAGCCAUCUGGCCUAAUACUGACGCUGAGGUACGAAAGCAUGGGGAGCAAACAGGAUUAGAUACCCGGGUAGUC